rnacentral:lncRNA from 1 species
GCAUUUGUGUGACUCCCUGUGCCUAAAUAUCUCUGAGAAGUGCAAAGGAAUAGAGAUUCUAACAGGAUGCAAGAAGAUGCUCAGCCAAGAAGGGAUCUAAUUAAAACCUCGCUCUGAAUAUGUCAGCAGUUUCUGGAGUUGCUGUCAGUCCUUUUUUUGUUGGGGGUGCCAAAUAAGAUUUGGCAGUGAAGCACCUUUCAGAUCAGCUUUUCCCUUCCUUCCAGGAGAGUUUAAGGGCAGCAGAUAAUUAACAACUGAUCUUUGAAAGUUUGUAAAUUCUGCGCUUCAUUUGCUGAAACACAAACAAAAUUAAAUUGUUUGUGGAUUUACCUCUGAUAUCCUGUUCUUCUAAUGGAAAAUGAAGCCCAAGAAGAGAAGGAUGAUCUAUUUGUAAGAAUUCCUCUGGCUGCAGAAGAGCAGUGGCUUUUCUUACCCUUUUAAGGAAGUUCUCCCCGUUGUCUCCAAGAUGUGUAAAGAGCUCCAGGAAAUUAAAGCACUUGAGAUUUUUAAGUGGACAAUUUACAUGUACAGUUGCAGUUUGCUGGGAAAAGAGCUGUUUAGUAAUCUGUACCUGGAAUUUAUAUGGUAUUGCAGUCAGCAGUGUUGUUCACCUUAUCAGUUGCACUGCAGAUCUGUCAGCUGGACUGAAGGGAAAUGCAGUGAAGAUGAAAAGGAAGGAAACCUGGGGCAGGCAGAAGGAUGGAGAAAUCACCACCACAGAGCUUCGAUGGCAGCUGAGGGCGGUAGUAAAAAAUAAUAUUAUUGAGGACACAUAAAAAUAGACCAAAGAACAUUUCAUGCUAAUUGUUGCUUGAAAUUAAUAAGUGUCCAUGUGCUGUCUAAAUUUGCUAUUUAAGUUUUACUGCUUUAUUGGUUUGAAUGAAGCAAAACUGGAGAUAAUAUUUUAAGUGACUUUAACCAAAUCAGUCAAGUUUAAAGAGUUUCAUAAAGUGAAUUACAAACAAUAAAUGAAAUUUUAUUCAUUAAUGCA